rnacentral:pre_miRNA from 1 species
UGGUUUAUCUUAUCUGUCGAGGCAAGUUAUUUUACCGGAUAGUGUUUCUUUUCGUGAGCAAUCACCACUAUCCAGCUCUUCUUGUCGACAGGGAGAUAAAUCACU